GACGAACGCUGGCGGCGUGCUCAACACACGCAAGCCGAACGGAAAGGCCCUGCUUUUGUGGGGUGCUCGAGUGGCGAACGGGUGUGUAACAUGUGAGUUACCUGCCCUUGACUUUGGGACAACUUCAGGUAACUGGGGCUAAUACCGGAUCGGAGCUCCUGCUGCACGGUGGGGGCUGGAAAGUUUCGGCGGUUGGGGAUGGACUCGCGGCUUACCAGCUUGUUGGUGGGGUAGUGGCUUACUAAGGCUUUGACGGGUAGCCGGCCUGAGAGGGUGACCGGCCACAGUGGGACUGAGAUACGGCCCAGACUCCUACGGGAGUCAGCAGUGGGGAGUGUUGCACAAUGGGCGGAAGCCUGAUGCAGCAACGCCGGGUGCGGGAUAGCGGCCUUCGGGUGGUAAACCGCUUUCGCCUGUGACGAAGCGUGAGUGACGGUAAUGGGUAAAGAAGCACCGGCUAAGUACGUG
rnacentral:rRNA from 1 species